ACGAACGCUGGCGGCAUGCCUAACACAUGCCAGUCGAACGAGACCUUCGGGACUAUUGGCGCCCGGGUGCGUCACGCGUGGGAACCUGCCCUUAGGUUCGGCCUAACUCUCCGAAAGGGGUGCUAAUACCGAAUAAUGUCUUCUGCCCAAAGAUUUAUCGCGUUUGGAUGGUCCCGCGUUGGAUUAGCUAGUUGGUAGGGUAAAAGCCUACCAAGGCGUCGAUCCAUAGCUGGGUUGAGAGGCUGAUCAGCGACACUAGGAGUGAGACACGGCCCAGACUCCUACGGGAGGGAGCAGUGGGGAAUAGUGGAACAUGGGCGGAAGCCUGAUCCAGCAAUGCCGCGUGAGUGAUGAAGGCCGUAGGGUUGUAAAGCUCUUGUAACUGGGAUGAUAAUGACAGUACCGGGAGAAUAAGCCCCGGCUAACUACGUG
rnacentral:rRNA from 1 species